CGUUCGCUGGCGGCGUGCCUUUUUCUUGCUUGUCGUGCGGUCUGUUGGGUGCUUGCUCCCUGUUGUUUGCGGCGGUCGGGUGUGUUUCUCGUGGGUUUCCUGCCUGUUUGUCUGGGUUUUCUCCGGGUUUCCGGGGCUUUUACCGGAUGCUUGUUUGAACCGCAUGGUUCAAACAUAAAAGGUGGCUUCGGCUACCACUUACAGAUGGACGGCCGGGCGAUUAGGUAGUUCGUGAGGUAAUGCGUGAGGAAGGCAAGGAUGGGUAGCGGAGGUCAGAGGCUGAUCGGCCACACUGGGACUGAGACACGGCCCAGACUCCUACGGGAGGCAGCAGUAGGGAAUCUUCCGCAAUGGACGAAAGUCUGACGGAGCAACGCCGCGUGAGUGAUGAAGGUUUUCGGAUCGUAAAGCUCUGUUGUUAGGGAAGAACAAGUACCGUUCGAAUAGGGCGGUACCUUGACGGUACCUAACCAGAAAGCCACGGCUAACUACGUGCCAGCAGCCGCGGUAAUACGUAGGUGGCAAGCGUUGUCCGGAAUUAUUGGGCGUAAAGGGCUCGCAGGCGGUUUCUUAAGUCUGAUGUGAAAGCCCCCGGCUCAACCGGGGAGGGUCAUUGGAAACUGGGGAACUUGAGUGCAGAAGAGGAGAGUGGAAUUCCACGUGUAGCGGUGAAAUGCGUAGAGAUGUGGAGGAACACCAGUGGCGAAGGCGACUCUCUGGUCUGUAACUGACGCUGAGGAGCGAAAGCGUGGGGAGCGAACAGGAUUAGAUACCCUGGUAGUCCACGCCGUAAACGAUGAGUGCUAAGUGUUAGGGGGUUUCCGCCCCUUAGUGCUGCAGCUAACGCAUUAAGCACUCCGCCUGGGGAGUACGGUCGCAAGACUGAAACUCAAAGGAAUUGACGGGGGCCCGCACAAGCGGUGGAGCAUGUGGUUUAAUUCGAAGCAACGCGAAGAACCUUACCAGGUCUUGACAUCCUCUGACAAUCCUAGAGAUAGGACGUCCCCUUCGGGGGCAGAGUGACAGGUGGUGCAUGGUUGUCGUCAGCUCGUGUCGUGAGAUGUUGGGUUAAGUCCCGCAACGAGCGCAACCCUUGAUCUUAGUUGCCAGCAUUCAGUUGGGCACUCUAAGGUGACUGCCGGUGACAAACCGGAGGAAGGUGGGGAUGACGUCUUU
rnacentral:rRNA from 1 species